rnacentral:misc_RNA from 1 species
GGGGGGUGAGGGGUGGGGGGUUGUUGUUUUAUUUAAGAACCUAACAUAAAAAUAAUAAAAAGAUUUCCUUCAUGUUUCUCUUUUCAAAAUGAAAGUAAUCCUAAAUGUCCCUCUGGAUGUUUUGGCAGCUUAAGAAAACCGGAAUACCAAAACAGAGAAUUUGUAACCUUUUUGCUGCAAGAUGAUAUGCAUGGUACAAGUCCAACUAUACAUGUACAGUUUCUGGCAUAAAGCCAAAGUAUUGCAAGCUCAAACACUACUGUAAAAAAUCGAAGUGCAUGCUACUAACAUCACUAAACUCAAACUAUGCUACAGAAGACUUUGAAGCCGAUCUAAUAUACUUAACUCCGCAUUUGUUUUCUGUGACUAGCCUCUUCAGUGUUUCCCUGCAAAGGACAAGAAAAUAUAUCAAAAAAAGGAGAAACUGUAUCUCAGAGUGGCCAGAGAAUUCUCAAAUACAGGGCAAAUAACACUGGGACACAUACUUCUUCAACUGGAAUUUCAACUCACAAGGAUUUAAACAUGGUUGCAUAAAAUGUGCAUUUUAAAAAAUAAAACCAUAAAAUGGAGAUACAGAAACAUGUUUAACUCAUAUAAACACUAAAUUAAUUAACCAACUAAAAGCAUGCCUUAAGAGCACAGACAAGACCCAAUAAUCAGCUUCUCUCAUGCUGAACAAUACUCCACUAUGCUUCCAUCAAGCAAAAAUAUCCACAAUCACAAAGAAGGCAGGUGAGUGUGUCCAUCUGAAUUCAAAUAUCCUGUUGUUCUACAGAACAAUAACCAAUGACCUACUCUCCAACAUAUAACAUUGGAAUAGCCUAAAUACUAUUGUUUUGAUGACAAUAAUUAUAACAGAAUGAUUACGCAUAAAGAGAUUGAAGAGAAAUUCCGUACCUCUUCAUCAUGUCUAGAAUCAUCAAGUGGAACCACACUAGACUCAGACCUGCAUUUAGCAUGUACUAUAGGACCUAACUGGGACCUAUCCAAGCCUGCUGUUGACCCAUCAGGUGCAUUCAGGUAGACAGCCCCUUUGUACAUCCAUUCCUCAGUUUCAUCACUAUAGAAAUCAUCAAAAGGCUCUCCACAUAAUGCACAUGCAUUCUGUUCCUCAUCAGCAGGAACAGCCAUUUCCUCGUCAUCCUUCUUCUCCACGAUGGUUUCAGUAGGCAAAAAUCCAGGAACUGCCUCACUUCCCAAUGCCUCUGCCCCACUAAGCCACAUAUUUGCACUAACAAACCACUUGCGAGAGGGUUUCUGCUUACGGUUCUUGGACAUCCGGUUCUUAGUAACGUGCCAAUCCAUGUGAUUACUGUGCUCUUCUUGACACUUAAAUCUAUGGCCACAUGUUGUACACUGCCUGGGCAAAUCAGCAUAUAAGGCAGUUACUGCUGACUCAUGGCGCACCUUAAGAAGAUCAGCAUUGAACUCCAGUCCCACAGAAUCCUGUACAGGUGUUUUGCUUGUCAAUGAGAUCAAACCUUGAGCCAUGAGAGAACUAAUCAAACCCGAAAAAUCACUGCCUGGUGAUUGGUUAGAGGCAACUGGACCAGCAUUUUGAGAGUUAGGUAUCAUUUGAGAAGCAGGAGGAGGACCUGGAGGUAGAGGUGGCCGGACCCCAACCUGUGAAUGCAAGGCGUUUGGGAUAUUGUUGAAUACUAAAGGAAGCCCAGCAGGUACAGCAUUUGAAGGAACCAUACUCAUGACAGCACCAUGCCCUUUCAUGGCAUAUCCAUGGCACAGUGGAAGAGACUGUGGAUAAGGAGGCAGUGAAGCCACAGAUGGCGGAAGAUUUUCUAGAGCCUCAUUAGAUGGAAGAUACUGUAGCUGAAAAGGAUUAGAUUGAGACUGGUUUGGCUUAUUCUGAGUAGUACGUUGACCGGGUAAUAGUGGUCGCUUCAUCAAACUGGGUUCUUUGCUUUCAACACUAUUGAACUGUUGCUCCGUCAAAAAGGAAGACUUAUGUAAACUAUGAUUUACAGUAUUAGUUCCAGUUACUGAAUCAAAUUGACUUCUACUCUGCUUCUGUGGUGGAAAAAUGUGGUGCACAGGAGGUGGAUGAGAUUUAUGCACAUUUACAUGAGGCCAUACCCCAGUUGAUGAUGGUGCAAUACUGGAAAUCAACCGUGAUGAAAGAGUUGGAGGCCUGACAAGCUGGGCAUCAGUAUCUGGAAGUUUGUCACUGAGGGAAGCCAAACUCUUACUGCCUGAAUAGGGUAUACCACUUCUAGAAAAGGGUAUCUGAAAUUCCCUACUUUCUUUAGCAUUUACGAGAUCUGUUGUCUGAGGGAAGUGAUGUGGCAACUUCCACGCUUCUCGAGGAAAUCGAGAACCCAUAAUCUGAUUUCUCUCAGUUUGGAAUCCAGUUAUCUUAGCUGCAGAUCCAUGACCAGGGCCCAGAAUGGGAACUGCAUCUUCAGCAAUAUUAGAGGAAUCAUCCACCAACGAUAGCUGAGCCUGACCAGAUAGAUUGCUCCCAAUAUCAGAAUCCAAUUGGCCAGCAACAGUCGUUCCAAUGCCAGCCCUAGCCCCAGCCCCUACGAAAGGUGGAACAGAUGGUAAGAAAUCAUUGCUCCUGCUGCGGUCAGCUAGAGUAGGGCUCAUAUCUUCCCAGUCAAAUUCCUCCUCUUCAGUAUUCUGCCAAGAUCUUGGACCCACUUUAUUGGCGAUGCCAUCAAAAUCUACACGUUCGAUUUGCAACAGUUUACUAUUUGGAAUUCUGUUCCGUCUGUCAUCUCCAUAUGCAUCUAUUAAAGCUCUGGGUCCUUGACGCUCACGUCCAUUGGAUAGGCCAUAUGCAAUAGAUGCUUCCAGUCGGUUAUGGUUAUCAUCAUAAUACUUUUUUCUUCUCCGUUCAUUUGUCUCUUCAUCUCUUCCAAUGGCUCUAACAGGUCCAUAAUUGAGCACUGGAUGAGAUGGAGAAGCCCCAUCAACAAAUCUUCGAGGAGAAUUUCCCAUGGUAAAGUCAUCAACUUCUGAAGGCAAUGGCCUCUCAGCUCCAACUCUUGAAGGUGACAAGCGUCUCACAAGCCCAGAACUUGAAGAUGGGUGCAGCUUAUUAACCCCAAGUGUAAAAGAUGUAUGACCUACACUUCCCGCUGUAUUUAAUCUUUGGGCUCCAACCUGUGAAGAUGUGAUCUCUGCAUGAUCAGAAUCAUAUUCAUCAUAACCAAUGGCAGGUUUUUUACUAUAUACUUUUAGAGUUGAUGAAGCUCCUCUUACAUGCUGAGCAUUAUUAUCUGAAGAAUGUUCCAACUGACGUAAAUAUUUUGGAUUAACAUGUAUGCCAUGGGUUGGCCUUGGUGAAUCAGAUGCCUUCAAGGAAGACAAGCCAGAGGAUUGACUAUUAACUUGUGGAGAAAACUGCAGUUGAGUCUCAAUCUUGCUAAGCACAGAAGGUGGAAACACUGUAGACCAUGUACCAAACAGGUGACGCAUUGAAGGAUACAGGUUAGGGUGAACUUGUCUGUAUGCCUCACAGAAAACCUCUGGUAAGCGGGAUGAGAAGUAUUUAACAUAUUCACGGCCAAUGUUCUUGACAAUGCUGUCCAAAAGAUAUAGCGAUGGCAGUUUUUGAUCCACAGGAACCUCGAUGAUGCGGGCACAGAUAGCGUCAGCAAUGCCCUCCCCAUGCUCCCUCAACUCGCCGGCAAUAAUCGUCAAAUCGGUAAUGACAGGCUUCGAAUUGAAAAUCAAUUCAUCAAGCACCAACUCAUAAAGCUGCACAAUCUCCUCGGUACUCAGAAUAGGCCCUGCCACGUCAUCCUCCUCCGCAGACACCCUGACCUGCUCUUCCCGCUGCUUCAACAAUGCCUUGAACCUGUCGAACAAUGACGGUGGCGGCUUCUGCAAUAGCUCAUUGCUGGGCAUGGGCUUGGAGGAGCUACUAGUAAACCUAGGGUUUUGAAGUACUUUAUCCGAUUCCAUUUCCAGUCAAGCCGAGAGAAAAGAGUAACAAAAAAAGUAAUAAAGAGUGCGAAUUAGGGUUUGGAAGAAACAUGAGAAGACGCUGAUUGAAUUAGGGUUUCUAAUCGUCACCCUGGAAUUAGAGAGACAGAGCAUAGAGUUUGAACCGGUAGUUUCUCGGUGAGAUUGAGACUAGCAUCGAGAUGCGUGAUGUGUUUACGUUAUUUUCAUCAGCGGUUGAAAUUCAACGGAAUUGGCUUCGGGUUAUAGAUUAGCCACAUUGAUCUUGAUAUGGGGUUUCACAUCAACGGUCGGUUUUGGCUUCUGU